rnacentral:rRNA from 1 species
CCUACGGGAGGCAGCAGUAAGGAAUAUUGGUCAAUGGAGGCAACUCUGAACCAGCCAUGCCGCGUGCAGGAUGACGGCCCUAUGGGUUGUAAACUGCUUUUGUACCAGAGAAAACCUACUCACGUGUGAGUAGCUGAUAGUAUGGUAAGAAUAAGCAUCGGCUAACUUCGUGCCAGCAGCCGCGGUAAGACGAAGGAUGCAAGCGUUAUCCGGAUUCAUUGGGUUUAAAGGGUGCGUAGGCGGACUUGUAAGUCAGUGGUGAAAUCUCUUCGCUUAACGAAGAAACUGCCAUUGAUACUGCAGGUCUAGAGUAUAGAUGACGUUGGCGGAAUAUGACAUGUAGUGGUGAAAUACUUAGAUAUGUCAUAGAACACCGAUUGCGAAGGCAGCUAACGAAACUAUAACUGACGCUGAGGCACGAAAGUGCGGGGAUCAAACAGGAUUAGAUACCCUGGUAGUCCGCACCGUAAACGAUGAUUACUCGUUGUUGGCGAUAUGACAGUCAGCGACGACGACGAAGACGAGAAGUAAGUACCGACCGUCGGGAGGUACGGCCGGCCGACGGUAGAACGUUAAAGGUAAAGUUAGUUACGGCGNGAGGACGNGCCGACGGACGACGACGAGGGAGGUUAGG